rnacentral:rRNA from 1 species
UGCGUAGGCGGAAUAAUAAGUCAGUGGUGAAAUCCUGUGGCUCAACCACAGAACUGCCAUUGAUACUGUUAUUCUUGAAUAUAGUUGAGGUAGGCGGAAUGUGUAAUGUAGCGGUGAAAUGCUUAGAUAUUACACAGAACACCGAUUGCGAAGGCAGCUUGCUAAACUAUUAUUGACGCUGAGGCAUGAAAGCGUGGGGAGCGAACAGGAUUAGAUACCCUGGUAGUCC